AGAGAGAUGAAGAAUAAGGCAAUCUUCCUGACAGUUGCGGAGAAGUGCAAAGUAUCAUCCCUUCAUCGCCCACACUCCACACACGCAUCCACUACUUUUCUUCUUCUUCUUCAUAUUUGGUCUCAGUUUAAUCUUUUCUUUUUGGUAUGUUGUGUGAGAUCUGAGAUGGCGCAGACCAUUUUGGCUUCAAACUGGCAAGGCCGUCUUAAUACCAUCAAAGCUGAUGCUAAGGGAAGGUAAGUUUUAAAAUUGACAUAAUACAGAAAAAUUAGCCCAUCUCUUCAUUCGUAAUCAUAUAUCUCAUAUCUAUCUGUGAUGAAACUCACCAUUGCUUUAAAGUAAUGGAUUCCUUAAUAUGAUUAUAUUGUUCUUCUCACUAGUGGUAGCAAGGAAGAAAUUCAUACUUCAAAGAUUAAGUACCUAUUCAAGAAGGGGAAGCCGUACAUUCGGAUACCAUCAAACGAUUUGCACAAUGUGAUUCUUUCUGCAACUUAGAAAGGCAGACUAUUGAAAAGUGAAUCGACUUCGUUUUUACAACUUAGACAGAUCACCAAACAAUCAUCUCAAGAGUUGUGAAGAGAUUACACUGACAGGUUUUAGUCUUGGAUAAUUGGUGCUUGCAUUUGAGAUUUUUUUUUUUUUUAAUAUUCUAUCUGAAAAUAUAUUGGAAUUGUACAAUCUAUAAGUGAAUUUUUGGUUUUAUUUUGUUUACAAAUCAGAUCCCCACCGAAGGAAAUCCUUAUAUUCCUUUUUUCAUUAAUGAGGUCUAAAGUCUUUAGCAAUUUUUUUUA